rnacentral:rRNA from 1 species
GUGAGAAUCCUCUCGGCCGAAUAUCCAAGGUUUCCAGAGUAAAGCUGAUCUGCUCUGGGUAAGUCGGGACCUAAGGAGAGGUCGAAAGACGUAUCCGAUGGACAACAGGUUUAGAUUCCUGUACCACAUAUGAACAGAACUGUGGGGACGCAUGUGGAGAGCACGAGCCGGGAAUGGAAAUACCGGUACAAGCGGAGAAGGAGUCUGGUUGGCAAAUCCGCCAGGCAAUCCGAAGACGUGAUGUGGAGCGAAUUAGAGUAGCGAAGCGUGUGAGCCAUGUGCCGAGAAAAGCCGCUAUUGUUUCAUGUGUGCCCGUACCGUAAACCGACACAGGUGGAAGAGGAGAGAAUCCUAAGGCCGGCGGAAGAAGCAUUGUUAAGGAACUCGGCAAAAUGACCCCGUAACUUCGGGAGAAGGGGUGCCUGCUAACGCAGGCCGCAGAGAAUAGGCUCAAGCAACUGUUUAGCAAAAACACAGGUCUAUGCGAAACCGAAAGGUGAAGUAUAUGGGCUGACGCCUGCCCGGUGCUGGAAGGUUAAGAGGAGAGGUUAGCGCAAGCGAAGCUUUGAAUUUAAGCCCCAGUAAACGGCGGCCGUAACUAUAACGGUCCUAAGGUAGCGAAAUUCCUUGUCGGGUAAGUUCCGACCCGCACGAAAGGCGUAAUGAUUUGAGCACUGUCUCGACAAUGCAUCCGGUGAAAUUGAAGUACCAGUGAAGAUGCUGGUUACCCGCGCCAGGACGGAAAGACCCCAUGGAGCUUUACUCCAGUUUGGUACUGGGAUUCGGUACUGCAUGUACAGGAUAGGUGGGAGACUAAGAACUUGGGACGCCAGUUUCAAGGGAGUCGCUGUUGGGAUACCACCCGUGCAGUAUUGGAUUUCUAACCAGCCGCCGUGAUCCGGCGGUGGGACAAUGCCAGGCGGGGAGUUUGACUGGGGCGGUCGCCUCCGAAAGGGUAUCGGAGGCGCUCAAAGGUUCCCUCAGAAUGGUUGGAAACCAUUUGAAGAGUGCAAAGGCAGAAGGGAGCUUGACUGCGACACCGACGGGUGGAGCAGGUAGGAAACUAGGACUUAGUGAUCCGGUGGCAUAAAGUGGGAUUGCCAUCGCUCAACGGAUAAAAGCUACCCCUGGGAUAACAGGCUUAUCACUCCCAAGAGUUCACAUCGACGGAGUGGUUUGGCACCUCGAUGUCGGCUCAUCGCAUCCUGGGGCUGUAGCAGGUCCCAAGGGUUGGGCUGUUCGCCCAUUAAAGCGGUACGCGAGCUGGGUUCAGAACGUCGUGAGACAGUUCGGUCCCUAUCCGGCGCGGGCGGAGGAUAUUUGAGAGGAGCUGUCCUUAGUACGAGAGGACCGGGAUGGACGGACCACUGGUGUAUCUGCUGUCGACCAACGGCAUGGCAGAGUAGCCAAGUCCGGAAGGGAUAAACGCUGAAGGCAUCUAAGCGUGAAGCCCCCCUCAAGAUGAGAUAUCCCUCACAUAAGUGAGUAAGAUCCCUUGAAGACUACAAGGUAGAUAGGGCAGAGGUGGAAGCACGGUAACGUGUGGAGCUGACUGUUACUAAUCGAUCGAGGGCUUGACC